UAACGUGAGUGCAGGAGGAUAAGGGGUGAUCUUAUAGAGAUGUACAAGAUCGUGAGAGGAAUAGAUUGGGUAGAUGCACAAUUCUUUUGCCCGGAGUAGGGGAAUCGAGGACCAGAGAACAUAGGUUCAAGGUGAAACUUUAAUAGGAAUCUGAGGGGUAACUUUUUCACACAAAGGGUGGUGGGUGUAUGGAACGAGCUGCCAGAGCAGGUCGUUGAGGCUGGGACUAUCCCAUCAUUUAAGAAAUAAUUAGACAGGUACAUGGGUAGGACAGGUUUGGAGGGAUAUGGACCAAAUGCAGGCAAGUGGGACUAGUGCGGCUGGGACAUGUUGGCCAGUAUGGGCGAGUUGGGCCGAAGGGCCUGUUUCCACACUGUAUCACCCUAUGACUCUGGGUUACUCCAGCUUUUUGUGUCAGUGUAAACCAGCAUCUGAGGCUCCUUCCGACGUGGAAUUGUUGAUGGAUCCUCCUUGUGUCUUGAAAAUAGAUUCCAUGCAAGAAGAAGGCGCAUUGGUAUCCGGAUGGACUUCAGAACGGAACAGGGAAGACCGUUACUCAGUCCUCCACUCAGGAGCAGUGUCUUGCGUUUAAGAACAAUGAAACUCUGGAGACUACACAGCGGUGGGGCCAUCCUCUUUCCCCAGCAGGAGGCUUCUCCCAACAUGUCAUACGCUAUGAACUCCCCAUUGAUCUUUGGGUCCUCAGGGGCAUGUCACCAACGCAGUAUCUGAGCACCUACUGCAGGUGUGAUGAUGGUUUAAGUCUGUUGUAUAAAACAGCCUUCGAUCAACAGGACAAGGAUAAGGAUAAAUAUGUUAACUUGAAGGAAAUGGAACAUGCAUUAUUGCUCAUCUACAGGUUAAAUGAAAUACACACUGAAAGGUUGUACAACUUGAUGAAAGUCAAUGAAGAUUUCAAAGUGGACCUGAAAUUAUUCAUAGCUCUUGCGGGUCUGAUGUCCAGAAUCCUAUUCAAAGAGCCAACGCAAGUAUAAAGUCCCAUUAGAAUUCUCUGGAGUUUAGAAGGAUGAGAGUGGUUCUCAUUGAAACAUAUAAGAUUAUUAAGGGCUUGGACACGCUAGAGGCAGGAAACAUGUUCCCGAUGUUGGGGGAAUCCAGAACCAGGGGCCACAGUUUAAGAAUAAGGAGUAAGCCAUUUAGAACGGAGACGAGGAAACACUUUUACGCACAGAGAGUGGUGAGUCUGUGGAAUUCUCUGCCUCAGAGGGCGGUGGAGGCCGGUUCUCUGGAUGCUUUCAAGAGAGAGCUAGAUAGGGCUCUUAAAAAUAGCAGUCAGGGGAUAUGGGGGAGAAGGCAGGAACGGGGUACUGAUUGGGAAUGAUCAGCCAUGAUCACAUUGAAUGACGGUGCUGGCUCGUAAGGCCAAAUGGCCUACUCCUGCACCUAUUGUCUAUUAUCUAUUGUCUAUUGUCAUUGCUAUCCGGGCGGCAUGGUGGCGCAGCGGUAGAGUUACUGCCUCACAGCGUCAGAGACCCGGGUUCGAUCCCGACCACUGCCGCUGUCUGUACGGGAGUUUGUACGUUCUCCUCGUGACCAGCGUUGGUUUUCUCCGGGAUCGGUGAAAGUGUAAACUUGUUCCCAGUGUGUGGGAUAGCAUUAGUGUGUGGGGGUCACUGGUCGGUGCUGGCUCGAUGGGCCGAUGGGCCUGUUUCACGCUGUAUCUCUAAAUUAAACUACUCAAUACUUCUUAGACUGGUCCACCGAAACAACAU